GAUGAACGCUGGCGGCGUGCCUAAUACAUGCAAGUCGAGCGAACAGACGAUGAGCUUGCUCCUCUGACGUUAGCGGCGGACGGGUGAGUAACACGUGGAUACCCUACCUAUAAGACUGGUAUCACUUCGGGAAACCGGAGCUAAUACCGGAUAAUAUAUUGAACCGCAUGGUUCAAUAGUGAAAGACAGUUUUGCUGUCACUUAUAGAUGGAUCUGCGCCGCAUUAGCUAGUUGGUAAGGUAACGGCUUUCCAAGGCUACGAUGCGUAGCCGACGUGAGAGGGUGAUCGGCGACACUGGAACUGAGACACGGUCCAGACUCCUACGGGAGGCAGCAGUAGGGAAUCUGCCGCAGUGGGCGAAAGCCUGACGGAGCAAGGCCGCGUGAGUGAUGAAGGUCUUCGGAUCGUAAAACUCUGUUAUGAGGGAAGAACAAAUGUGUAAGUAAAUAUGCACGUCUUGACGGUAACUAAUCAGAAAGCAACGGCUAACUACGUG
rnacentral:rRNA from 1 species